rnacentral:rRNA from 1 species
CUGCUGCCUCCCGUAGGAGUCUGGUCCGUGUCUCAGUACCAGUGGUGGGGGACCUUCCUCUCACGAACCCCUAGACAUCGUCGCCUUGGUGGGCCGUUACCCCGCCAACAAGCUAAUGUCACGCAUGCCCAUCCGUCUCCGGAGUCGCCUCCUUUGGCUGAAACGAAGAUGCCUCCCCUGGCCACAUGCGGUAUUAGGCCGGAUUUCUCCGGGUUAUCCCGCUGAAACGGGCAGGUUGCAUACCGCGUUACUCACCCGUGCGCCGGUCG